UAUUAAACCCUUAGGUAGUAAAAUAAACCAAUAUGUAAUGGCGGUCUUUACUAUUUAGAGAAACUCGCUUUAUAAUCGUAAAUACCCGUUAAAUCUAACUUUAUUUAAUCAAGCCUAUAUACCGCCGUUUAGAAUAUAUAAACCCUUAAUACUCGAAUACCUACCCACGCUUAGGCAAAAAUCAGGUCAAGGUGUAGCCCAUAAUAAAGCGAAAGUAAGUUACAUUAAAAAUCAUUUAAGGAUUGAAAGCUAAAACAAGCAUGAAAAAGAAUUUAUUAGUAAGUAAUAAUUAAAAACUAAUACCGAAAUAACAUUUAAAGAUGC
rnacentral:rRNA from 1 species